CUGUAGCCAAAGCUAAGCCAGUCAUACUCUUUUCUCCAGGGAGUGGGCUUCAAAGGCUGUAGACAGCUGUCUCCUCUGGAGGGUCCACCACCUGUUGCCAAUGUAGGAUGCCUGAGGGACAUUGGACAAAGUC
ensembl:snoRNA SNORA70 Small nucleolar RNA SNORA70